rnacentral:rRNA from 1 species
GUCUCCCUGUUAGAGAAAAAUAGGGAGUCGGGCCUGCCCAGUGAGUGUUAUUCAACGGCCGCGGUACUCUGACCGUGCAAAGGUAGCAUAAUCAUUUGCCUUAUAAUUGAAGGCUUGUAUGAAUGGUUUGACGAGAAUAAAGCUGUCUCUUUAUAGUUAUCCAGAAUUUUAUUUAUAGGUGAAGAAGCCUAUAUUAUACUGAAAGACAAGAAGACCCUAUCGAGCUUGAAAUAAAUUAGUAAACUUUAAAUUUUAUAUAGAAUAAAAAAAUUAAUUACUAAGUACUUUAGUUGGGGCGACUGAGGAACAAAAAAAGCUUCCUUUCGAAUAAAAAACAUACAAGUAUUGAUCCAAAACUUUUGAUUAAAGAAACUAGUUACCGUAGGGAUAACAGCAUUAUCUUUUUUGAGAGUUCUAAUCGAAAAAAAGGUUUGUGACCUCGAUGUUGGACCAGAAUAUCCUAAAGAUGCAGCAGUCUUUAAGGGUUGGUCUGUUCGACCAUUAAAAUUCUACGUGAUCUGAGUUCAGACCGGCGUGAGCCAGGUCAGUUUCUAUCUUCAGUUUCGAUAGCAACCUUAGUACGAAAGGACCAGCUUGCUGUAAAACUUUACUGAACUUGAUAUUAUAUAAAGCCAAUAUAAGUUUAUUAGCUCUCAAACAAAAAUCAAAUUAGCAAAGACAAUGCAAUUGACUUAGGAUCAAUAGACAUAGGUGAAACCCCUUUAUUUGAUACUUAUAAAGGUGGCAGAGUAAA